UGACCUAUAUCGGGGGCUGUCCCCCCAGG
rnacentral:sRNA from 1 species